rnacentral:lncRNA from 1 species
CCUACUGCUAAAGCCACUGUAGAAGCAGCUGAGAAUCGUAGAAAAUCUCUUCCGGAGAAAACAACAAAGCUUGAUUCAAAAUUAGCAGAAAGUCGAGAGAAACUUAGUUCCUUGGAUUCUGAGCUCUCAAAGAUUUCAAAUGAAGUGAAGAAAAUUGAGGCUGAAAUUCAACGGUUAACUGCUGAGAAAGAGAAGCUUCUCGUCGAAAAGAAAAAAGUUGUUGCUCAGCUGGAGAAAGCUAAUCCAGAAGCAUUAAAAGACUUGGAAGAAUGGAAAAAGCUUGAAGAGGAAAUGAAGCAAGCUAAUGCUGAGUGGCUUGGAGCAAAAGAGAAAUCAGCAUUGGCUAAUAUUCGUUGGAAACUUUACAAGGAGGAGUUAGGUCUUUGAAAUGCUAAAUCAUUGAAUUUAUUCAUUUAUUGAAUUUAAUUUAUAAUAUCAUUGAAAUAAAUUAUUGUGUUUUAUAAUUUCAAAAAAAUAAUGGAUUUAUUUUAACUAUCAUGAAUAAAAUUUUAGUUUAAAAUUACUUUUUGGUUGCAGUUUCUUCCCAUUCCUCUUUUUCUUUUUUCUUUUUUUUUUUUUUCUUUCUAAUCUUAUAUUUUGACAAUUUAGUUAACUAACAAGAGGAUUAUAUAAUUAGAAAUAGAAAGUGAUAAAAUAUAAGUGCUAUUAAAAUUAAUUUUUAAAAUUGGAGAUCUUAUUUCGAAAUCUCACAUGUUGCGAAAAGUGUACACAUAUAUAUUAAAGGGGUUAUACUUAUCGAAACCGGAUUUAUUGCUCCACUCAUAAAUCAAAGCAAUGAAUAUAUGUAUUUUUAAGAAUUGUUUUUUUUUUUUUCCCGGUGCAUGGUCAGAAAUCUCUUCAUUUCAAUAAAAACUCUUACUUUCAUUGAUUUGGUCUAUGAAUAAGGACAUAGAACCGAUUUAGGCAAAUCAAUCCCAUUACAAAGAAUGUUAUGAAAAGUAUAUGUUUAUAUAUUAUUAUAUUAGAGAUUAAAUGUUCCUAGAGCCUAUAGCCCAGACCAAAUCAACGGCAAUAAAAAUUUUUAAAACUGUUUUUUUUUUCAAUGAAUAAUCAGACAAAAAUUUAUUUUUCCAUUAGAUUACUCCACACUCACACUAAAAGAUAAAAAUAAUAUUUUAAAAUCAUUAAUAUUUUAUUUAAAUAUAUAAUAUUUAAUGACGAUGAAAAAUUAAUAAAUUAAUUUUACAAAAUACAACUUUUAAUUAAUAUAUUUACCAAGGAUGUCUUGGGAACUAGACUAGGCCUGAAUUGAAAAUCACAGUCGAAAAUGGCAGGACCAAACCAGCAGUAAAACAUAAACGAGAGACUGACUCCACUCCACAUAUUCCCUCUCUCUAUCCAUGGCUGCUCUUUUUUCUUGCUGUUCUCUCCACUGUUUCUCGUCUCUCUUUCCUUCCCCUUCUUCUUCGCUUCCAACUUCUCAUUUUCUUCCACAAUUACUCUCAGCAAAACCAGAAUUCCCCUCUCUUUCCCGUUUCUGCUUCAGCCACGGAGAAUUCCUUGACCGACCCACAAAUCUCCCAGAAACAAAAAUACAAAAUUAACCUUGUUUCAAGCAAUAGACACCUUGGCUCCAGCCUCUUCAAGCUGUUUCUUAGCCUCCUCUGCCUCUUCCUUUGAAACUCCUUCUUUGAACUUCUUAGGCAAGCCUUCAAUCAAGUCCUUAGCUUCUUUCAAAUUGGUCAUUUAUAAAAAUUUAAGAAUCAAAUUGAGCAUUUAUCUUAAUUGGAAUUAGAAGAAGCGAUCCAUACGAAGACGAGUUGGCAACGAAUGAGCCUUAUUGAUGGCUAAUCAUCAUUAAUAAAUUAAUGGACUCUAAAAGAAAUUUUAAUUGAUAAAAUAAAUUACAUAGUAUUGAUUGAUAAAAUAAAAAGGGAUUGACCAAAUUAAAAAAAAUAUAAAAAUUCAAACUUUGUUUAGUAAUUUAGUCUUCAUGAUUGAUAGCUUGAUGAAUGCAAAAUAAAUAUUACUAAUAAUUUAUGGAUGUUUAUUAAGUUUAAGCGUCAAAAUACGAUGUUACUCAUUUUUCUUUCCUUUAAAAAAUAAAAAAUUUUGUUCAUUUCCUGAUAUGUCGCCACGUGCACAUCCUAACAAAAGAAAGCUUUACGGUCAACGGAUUGGAGAGGAACUUUCAAACAAACAAAACACUCUAACGUUCCUCGGCUUCAAAUUUGAAUCUAAACCAUCCUAACCGUCCAUCUAAUCUCUUUUAACCAUCCGAUCAUUCCCGUCACACAUCUCUCCAAACUCCCCCCAUUUUCCCUCAAAAACACUUUAUUUCAAAUCUCUACUGCUCCUCUCUCACUCUCGCCCUCUCAAAAUUUUCUCCCCAUCCAAACAGCUGCCCGUCACCCUUUAAAUCUUUAUUACCUCCCUAAAUUCCGAUUUCAUCCCCAAAAUCUUGCGCUAGGUUUUCCUUUGGCAUAAAAAACUUAACGCUUCACUUUUUCUCUUACUAAAGAAUAAGAGAGCUAUAUAUAUAUAUAUCUAUGGCAGAAGAGUGUUUAUUAUCAUAUGAUUGUGAAGAACUUUGCAUUUAGACCCAAAAGUCAUUAAUUAAGCUAUGGCAGGUAUAUAUGAAAUUUUUCUGGUCUGUUGGAUAAGAGGAUGGGGAAGAGAGAGUGAGGGUUCUUGUUGAGGAAAGAGAUGCUGCCAUUUUUCUGGUCUGUUGGAUAAUGGGAGAGUGAGAGACGAAGAGAGUGAGGUUUGGAGAAGAAGGAUAGGAUAAGAAAAGAAGAAGGUUUGUGCCUUUAUGUGACAGAGGCGUUAAUGUUAUGGGUUGUAUAUAAUUUUGAUGGACCGAAUUAUCCUCUUGAACAUUGCCAUGUUACCUUUUUGGUUGGAUUGGCCCAUUGGGCUUGUGUUAAUAGAAAGGAUAAACUCUUGAUCUGAUUCUUUAAUUUUACUGAAUAUUCAAUUUGAUACAAAAAUUAACUUAAAGACAUAAUUCUUAAUUUAUAAUUAACUAAUUUUUGAAUUAAUUUAAAUUUUUUAUAAUCAGUUUGUCUCGUUCUUUAAAAAAAAAAUAAAUAUAAAAAUAUUUUAAAUAAUAAAAUUGAUAUUUUAUUACUUUUAUUAAAAAAAUAUGUUAAAUUACUUACAAAUUCAAAUUUUACGUCGUAGAUUUUAGUUCAAAUUGGUCAUUUAUAAAAAUUUAAAAAUCAAAUUGAGCAUUUAUCUUAAUUGGAAUUAGAAGAAGCGAUCCAUACGAAGACGAGUUGGCAACGAAUGAGCUUAUUGAUGGCUAAUCAUCAUUAAUAAAUUAAUGGACUCGAAAAGAAAUUCUAAUUGAUAAAAAAAUACAUAAUUUUGAUUGACAAAAUAAAAAAGGAUUGACCAAAUUAAAAAAAAAAAAGUAAAAAUUCAAACUUUGUUUAGUAAUUUAGUAUUCAUGAUUGAUAGCUUGAUGAAUGCAAAAUAAAUAUUACUAAUAAUUUAUGGAUGUUUAUUAAGUUUAAGCAUCAAAAUACGAUGUUACUCAUUUUUCUUUCCUUAAAAAAAUGAAAAAUUUUGUUCAUUUCCUGAUAUGUCGCCACGUGCACAUCCUAACAAAAGAAAGCUUUACAGUCAACGGAUUGUAGUGGAACUUUCAAACCAACAAAACACUCUAACGUUCCUCGGCUUCAAAUUUGAAUCUAAACCAUCCUAACCGUCCAUCUAAUCUCUUUUAACCAUCCGAUCAUUCCCGUCACACAUCUCUCCAAACUCCCCCCAUUUUCCCUCAAAAACACUUUAUUUCAAAUCUCUACUGCUCCUCUCUCACUCUCGCCCUCUCAAAAUUUUCUCCCCAUCCAAACAGCUGCCCGUUACCCUUUAAAUCUUUAUUACCUCCCAAAAUUCCGAUUUCAUCCCCCAAAAUCUUGCCCUAAGUUUUCCACUGGCAUAAAAAAGUUAACGCUUCAACUUUUUCUCUUACUAAAGAACAAGAGAGCUAUAUAUAUAUCUAUGGCAGAAGAAUGGUUAAUAUCAUAUGAUUGUGAAGAACUUUGCAUUUAGAGCCAAAAGUCAUUAAUUAAGCUAUGGCAGGGAUAUAUGAAAUUUUUUUUUUUGUCAUAUCAUAGCCAAAAGCUUUUUUUUUUUUUUUUAAUUUGUUCAGAUUUUCUUUUUCCAAAUUUUGUUGCUAAUUUCUUGUUGCAGAUAUCAAAACUACUGGUAAUGUGGUUGAGCUUGUUUCAUCGAAAUUCCAAUGGAGAAUUAAAAAAUUUUCCGACAUUACUGACAAGGAACUGUAUUCAGAUAUAUUCAAUGUUGGUGCCUCUAAAUGGUAUAAUUUCUUGGCUACCUGUAGCUAAUAUUACUAGAAUAAGCACUUGGGUUAGUUUGUUUCAAAUGAAUUAAACUAGAUUAAACGGAAUAAACAGAAUUUUUGAAUAAAAAAAAACUAAUUUAACUAAACCAGUUCGAUUUGAUUUUUUUUUUUUUAGUUAGCUCAAUUUAGGUUUUAAAAUAUUUGGAUUUCCCGAUUUAAUAUAAUAAAAACCGAACUAAACAGGAAAUUUUUAAUUUUUUCUAUCAAAACUAAAAUCAAACUGAAUCAUAUAAUUCAAUUCCAUUGGUUUUUUUCGUGUUUUGUUGAGUCCUAAAUAUUAUAUUAUGGGUCAAAAUCUAUGAGUAGUUGCAUUGGCUCAACGAAUAUAAGUUUGUAAUAUAAUUUUUUAUGCAUGAAAAACUGAAUUUUUUUUAAAAAAACAAAGCCUAAAUUAUCAUUCAUUAAUCAGUGAAAGUUCUUAUUUUGUUUAAUUCAAAAUUAUUAUUUGCAGUAACAAUUCCUAAAUUGAUACUUAAUGUCUUCUUGUUAAAUAUCUUCCUAUUUUUGUUGUUUUUGUAAAUUUAUCAGGCGUUUGCUUGUUUACCCAAAAGGAAUCAAAGUAGAUGAUUAUCUGUCAAUAUUUCUGGCUGCUGCUGAUGCAACAAAUUUGCCUUCUGGAUGGAGCAGAAAAGCAAAUUAUAGUUUGGCAGUUAUUAAUCAAUCCAAUAGCAAGUCUACAGUCAGAAAAGGUAAUUGAUUUAACUUUAAGUUCCCUUUUUAUUAGGUCCAAGGAAAACAUUUUUUGCACAGUUAGACACAGCUACCGUGCAAAACGGGUGAAAUGAUUAUAAUGUCCUUCGAGAAUGUUGAUUAAUUAGUUUUAAUGUUACCGAUAUUAUCUAGGGUGAAAUUGAAAUAAAACAUGUAUUGUGUCUGGUGUAACCUGCGCCGUUUAGUAGGCUAGCACCUCUCUAAUACAAUCACUCCCUCUAACUAAUCUUUAUGAAAAUGUAUAAAAGUUUCUAAAUUGAAUUAUCAACAAGUAUUCUAUUAUGCUAAUUAAUCAGAAGUGGUCUUAUUGGACUUUUUACUAAUGUAAAGAGCGGAUGAUUUCAGAUCCGAAUUUAUCGACAGGAGGAGGAUUUACCCUCUGUAAUUAUAUCUAAUGCAUAACCGAUUUUGAUAUUAUACAUGUUCACGUCUUGAAUUCUGGUGAGGCUAAGCCAAUACUAUAUAUAUGGCUUAAACUUUAUGUAUAUUUUGCAGAAUCAACAGAUGAAUUCAAUGCAAAAGCAAUUAAUUGGGGUUACAGAUCUUUUGUUCCUCUUAGGAAAAUAAGAGAUCCUAAAGAAAAUUAUCUUGUGGACGAUACUCUUAUAAUAGAAGUUGAACUUACUGUCAGCGAUGUUAUGCAUCCUUCAGUAACAGUCGAGCCAAAAAAACCUGAACAACAAAGCAUCCAGGCACCACCACCUCCUCCACCACCUCCUCCAGUGAUCGCUAAGGAAAAGGAACUUCCAAAGGUAAUUCUUUCCAUUAAAAGACAAGUUUUCUUGAAUUUUCUUUCUGAAAAGAAAAUAACAUUUUUUUUUUUGGCUGCCAUGACAGGAUCCUUCCGUCGAGCCUAAAGAAUCCUCCCAAGAUGUGCAAACUAAAUCUAAGAAUCUCCUAACAGAGCUUUCAAGCAGAACUACAACCCAAAGAUCAUCUUCAACUGAUGAUAUUUCAGUUUCACCUCAGCCUGAUAAUUUGCAGCAAGAAAAUGAAGCAUUGGCAGGAUUCUUUAACAUGUCAUUAGAGGCUAUCCAACAGGCUAACGUCUUUGGCAAUAUUGAAGAAAUAAUCCGUACACUUAUUCCAAGUACAAACGAUUUGCAAAAGAAAACAGUUCUUGAAGAUCUUGCCUCUCGAUUAAAAGAAUUUCCAGAAAUAAUCCCUACUGCUAAAGCCACUGUAGAAGCAGCUGAGAAUCGUAGAAAAUCUCUUCCGGAGAAAACAACAAAGCUUGAUUCAAAAUUAGCAGAAAGUCGAGAGAAACUUAGUUCCUUGGAUUCUGAGCACUCAAAAAUUUCAAAUGAAGUGGAGAAAAUUGAGACUGAAAUUCAACGGUUAACUGCUGAGAAAGAGAAGCUUCUCGUCGAAAAGAAAAAUGUUGUUGCUCAGCUGGAGAAAGCUAAUCCAGAAGCAUUAAAAGACUUG